rnacentral:rRNA from 1 species
CAGCAGCCGCGGGAAUACGUAGGGUGCAAGCGUUAAUCGGAAUUACUGGGCGUAAAGCGUGCGUAGGCGGCUUCUUAAGUCGGAUGUGAAAUCCCUGAGCUUAACUUAGGAAUUGCAUUCGAUACUGGGAAGCUAGAGUAUGGGAGAGGAUGGUAGAAUUCCAGGUGUAGCGGUGAAAUGCGUAGAGAUCUGGAGGAAUACCGAUGGCGAAGGCAGCCAUCUGGCCUAAUACUGACGCUGAGGUACGAAAGCAUGGGGAGCAAACAGGAUUAGAUACCCCCGUAGUCCCUGUCUCUUAUAC